AGAUGGUUUUAGUUUUGGCUACUCUUUUGAUUUUUCUGUGUUUUCGCUUUUGCUCUACUCCUCCCUGUAACACUACGUUACUCAUCAUUCAAGGCUCACUGGCCAUUCCCUUCAAAUCAUAUUAUGGAGGGUUAUGCAUAUAUGCUCACGCACCCCGGAAUACCUUCCGUUUUCUAUGACCACUUCUAUGAUUCUGGUGAUUCCAUUCAUGAUCAGAUCAUGAAACUGGUACAGCA